rnacentral:rRNA from 1 species
AGUAACACGUAUCCAACCUGCCGUCUACUCUUGGACAGCCUUCUGAAAGGAAGAUUAAUACAAGAUGGCAUCAUGAGUCCACAUGUUCACAUGAUUAAAGGUAUUCCGGUAGACGAUGGGGAUGCGUUCCAUUAGAUAGUAGGCGGAGUAACGGCCCACCUAGUCUUCGAUGGAUAGGGGUUCUGAGAGGAAGGUCCCCCACAUUGGAACUGAGACACGGCCCAG